UGAAGCUGAGUUGAUCGCCACCGUGACCCGGAGUUGGUAGAGAUCGGCCUGUGAUCUGUUGCCGUGUCGUUAGAAUAAAAGUCGUGUGCGGUUGGUGAUGUGUCCGUGAGUGUGUGUUUAGUUUCUGUCCUGUCGUUGUGUCCUGCUAUGGCGAGCUAUCCGAUGUAAUAAGCAUUUGGCACUUGUGCUUGUUUUUCAAACCAUGGAUCGUGAUGAGAACCUCUGUACUGUGGUGCAAUCCUUUCAUCUAUGCGAAUGGUCUUUAUUGUCUACUCGUAUAUCUUAAUCGGUGCGGUUUUCUGGAACCUGCCUACACCAGAUUAAGCAAAAACAAUUAAAAAUACUAAAGAAAUCUGCAAAUAUGAAACUUUACCGUAACAAGCAAUGUCUACUGUAUGUCGAGGUGUGUUUUCGUAUCUAUACUAAACCUAUCCUACAGCGACCCGAUCCUAAACCUAUCCUACGGCGGCGGCGCCCGACGUCCUUCGUCCAUCGUAGAAGGACUGACCCACAUGGAACACAAGGCCUUGUCGCCUUUCAUGCCUUGCUCAUUCUUGCAGGAGUCCGCGCCGUGAGGUCCAUGAUGGAAAUGGUGUCGCUCGCCCUGUUGUCGUCCCACCUUGCUGCCGGAUAGUUCGUCGGCAACGCAUAGGAGGCGCAACUGGUGUUGUUCUCCUUCGCGAUCCCCUGGAGCUGGGCCUCGAUGACGGCCGCUUCCUGGCGAGCGACGGCUUCAGCGCGGACGACAUCGUAGAUGGCACGCUGCUCCGCGACGAAAUUGGGGUUCGCAUCGGCCAUAGUCGCCACGGCCUCCUCGCUCGCCGCAGAUCUGGCCCUCCGUCAGCCGGUGCUGCUCCAGGAGGAACAGGUUAUACCGUUGUUCCUCCUGCGCCCGCUGGACGCCGAAAGGCGCUGACGCAAGCUGCAUCUCCGUCAUGGCGGCAUUGUAGUGCUCUUGCGCAUGCUCCAUGGUGAAGCCGGCGUGCACAGGAGGUGCUGGAGCCGGGGCGGUGUCGUCGGAGCCCGUCUUCAUCGUGGUGUCGUCCUCGUCAUCGGACACCUCGGGAGAGCUGGCCGGCAAACCGGUCUCGAUCCGCCUGGCACGGGGGCAGCAAGGGCGGCCACCACGUGCUUCAUCUCAGUGGAAAGGUUCUCCCACAAAGCUUCGCCAAGCUUCGCCGCUUGCAGUCAUGGCAGAUGCAAUGCAAGGGAGUAGGAUGUGGAGCGGCUUGUCUUGGCAUAGAGUUGGUCGGGUGUGGCCGCCUUUAAAUAGCGAAUUUCAGUGAGACCAACCGUUCGGGUGCGUCAAUGCGCAGCGGCGGAGUGGGUUUCACAGCCGUUAAGCCUAUUUAAUGGCGGCUUACGGACGGACGGGCCAUUCAACGGGCGUGGUAGAUAUCCGUCCCGUCCCAUCCAGUAAUGCGUCUUCGGCAUUGAACAGGCGCAAACGUGUCGCGGGUUGUGCCCUCGUCCGGCGUGCCGUUUCAAUGACGGUGGCAAUGAGAGGUCGCGUCCAUCCUGAGCCGUUUUUAAUGUGGUGUGGUGCGCGCGACAGCGGAAUGAAUGUGGACAGCUGGCGCCGGACGGGAACACGCACGGCGAGGAAGGAGGGGGUUUGGGUGGACCAGGCGGUCAGAAGCGGGUGUGGCAGCGGUCCGAACUCUCGCAAAACUCCCCAUGGUUGUCUUCGGUUUGCAGAAAAAAAAACAUCUGCAGAUCGCUCUACGGAUCAAUACAGGUCCGCGAUAGCUUCUACGAUGAAGAUGCAAUUGUGCUAGCCUGACCGAGUGAUGCACACAAUCUUUGACCGAUAUUGAUUUACUAUUUAAAAGUUCAUGUAAAAACAAUAAAGUUCAUAAGAAAAUGCCAUACAUGGCUGCCCCAACGGUAAAUAUAAAAAACACAGAAAUUAUUUUUUCAUGCAUCUUAAAUCCUAGUAGGUUGCUAACAAUUCGAUUGAACAAAUUUCGAGAGAGAUCAUCUCCCGUCGAAAACCGUGGGCGCCUUAUCCUCCUCUUUUUGUAGCAAUGACUACAUAUGGGAUGCCCUGAAAAUAAGUUGUAAUUUUUUGGAACAAAAUUAUUACAAGUGUUUCAAAUGGCCCAAUGCGUGUAAAUUCUCAGAAACUUCAACUUUGGAUGCACCCUCACUAAUCACUUUUCAAACAUAUUCAUACUACUUGUGGGUGGAGGUAGACUAAAAGCUAUAUGGACGUAUCACCAUAAUAAUUUGGCAAGCGAGCAGAAGGAAUAAAAGGCCGGAUGAACUCCUCAUCCCAACAAAAGCAACACCUAGUGCAUUCUUGCCAAUUCUUUUCUCCAGACUAGGUAAUUGUCCGUGCGUUGCAAUGGGGAUAAGAAAAAAAGUAUGGAUGCACUAAUUAAAGGGUCGUCAUAUUUUUACAUAAGCAUCACAGUUCUACGAUUUCCACCCACCCACCUUGUGCCGAGCACCCUCGUAUAUACUCAUCCUCCUUACCACCCACCAUCCCAUUCCACACGACAAGUAGACAAGGCAUCCCUUUUUCCUCUCUCCCCACCCUUUACUGGACAUUAUUUUUAAUUAUCCGACAUGCAAAAAUCAAUAAAUCAUUCAUCUCAAACAUGUAUUUGUAGGAUCUUCGUGCACAUCAAACAACACUGUCCACUAUUGUUUUACGUUAAAUCACUCUUCUUCGAGUAGGCUAAGCAGUCUCAGUGGAGUAACUUCGCCCCUUGUCCCUCCAAAGCAGGUCCAUGCAGCUAAGCAACCCUUGACACGCGAAAAAGAAAACACAGAGGAAAACAUGCAACCAAACAAGGUCUCGCAGGACAAAAUAACCUGGUGACUUGUGUGAGUGCCUACAAAAAAAUCAUGUGCAGGAAGGAGAGGGGGAUGGUGGAUAGAAGAACCAUCAUUAUAUCAACCUACCAUUCAAAGCUCAAAGAAGUUUUUAGGAAGAAUACAAAAUAUAAGUAAAUCUCAAUAGGUAAAGUUAAUGGCAAGGUACAUCGUUUUUCUUUCAAAAGGAAUAUCCACGGCCCAUCAUUUGUGAUGCACACAUCCAUCUUUUAUUGAAUAAAAUUCAAAUGUUCAAGGGAUUUAGAAUAAUAGAAAAGGAAAAAACUACAACCUCUAGCAAAAAAGGAUUACAUGACACGUUCACAUAAUUUACUAAAGAAGCUGUGUAAUGUUAUAACACACACACCGAAGGUAAUAAAGAAAACAAAAUACCCCCUACUUUCCACCAAUUGUAACAAUCUUUGAAGUCAUUAUUAACAAACUAAAAGGCUUUGGCCUAUGCAUUCAAUUGUUCUACAUGAAUAAAGGGUUGUCAUUGCGUACAAUUUGAUGUGUGCAAAUAAUAUACAUUUUAUAAUCAUGACACAAUCUAAAUCCUAAUAGCACUGGUAGCUUCAACUUGAGAAUUGAUGGGAGUUAUAAUAUGGCUUUGAAGGCAAAUACCAGCUCCUUGCUAUAGUUCUUCCUUGCAACCUGCACCAAAACCGACAUGGCAAACACAACUUUGAAGCCCACAACCAUGACACCACUUUUGCAAGUUGCUCAAAACACGAACUCGUUUGCAUAGAACAUCCAUUUCUCUAGUGGACAUUUCCUGUACUCAAUAUUCCACCAACUUCUGUAGAUUUGGAACCAAAAAAACCAAGCUAUCUUGCUUCUACUAAACCAAGAACGGAGAAACACCUAAUCAACAUGUUGACUACUUUCCUUGGACUGCUAAUAUCUUGUUAUCUUGUUAGCGUAUCAAGAUUUUAGAUAAUAUGAACAGAAAUAUCACUAACAACAUAAUUUCGGGAGGAACAUAUAUUGUGUUACUAUUGAUGUGCGUACCCGAUGGUGGUGAAAAAACUUGUAGUGAAAGUGUAAAAACACAAUAGCAAGCAAGUAUUCCCUACCCCUACUAAUUAGAAGAGGAAUAACAAAUCAUUAAAUAUAAAUUUUAAUGAUUAAAUAAACAAGAAACUCUAUGGGUCAUGCCUAUGUAAAGUGAAUAGUUUUUUUGGAAAGGAUCCCACAACCCCUGUCAUUAUACCUUGACUCUAAAGCUUAAGCCUUGUUUUCAGCAUGUCAACUCGACAUACCAUGCCUUUUCCAAAUGCGUCUACAGUCGAUAUGAUGCAUCGAUUGUUAUUUUGCCAUGUCUUGAACUAAACAGAUAUGUUUGCUUACAUAAGCAUGUUACUGCAUAACCACAAAACCCAAUGCAAGGCAAUAAGCAACAAUAACAUGAGUAAAAGAACUACGUUCUAGAAAACUUGACAUACUGGGAAAGUCACUUCUCAGCCUGAGCUGAAAUGAGCUCGGGUGAACAGUCAAAUUGAAUUUAUUUAAAAAAAAUCUAAUUUUCUUAUGACGAACAUUGAAAAAUGUUCUAAGAGCUUGCAAAAUUUCAUCAUGGAAUCACAUUUGAGGUUGUCGCGACAGUAAAAAUUCAGUAUUCUAAAAUGCUUUCAAACGUAGCAUUUUUAGAGUAUCGGUUUUAUUUUUUGCCACGCCUUCCAGGAAUGUGAUUCCAUGAUGAAAUUUUGCAAGCCCGUAGAACAAUUGUCAAAAAUAAUUCAGAAUUUUUUAAUGUGUUUUGAUUUUUUUUAUUUUACCGUUCACCUGGGCUCAUUUGAGCUUGGCUGAGAAACUCCGCGUCCGACAUACUGUUCAUCUUAUAGCACACCCCACCACAUAGCAUUUUCCAUUUGAAGCAUUUUGCAUUUCUUGUAAAUUUUGAAGGCUGAGUUGCACUUAGCUGCACACAUGAAGGCGACAAUGGUGCCAGGGAUGCUAUGACCACAAAUUCCAGGAAUACCAGCAGUAAUGUGGUGAUGAAUUCAAACUCCCAUUGAUCCAUCAUUCCAUAUCAAAAGUCUUAACUUAUGUAGUACAUAACCAUUAUGGCAUACCUUCCACUAGGAAAAAGUAUGAAUGUACAAAAAAGUAGAUAAAAUAUUUAGAAUUUUCACAACCGCAUCUCUUAGUUUUGAUCCACACAUUGUUGGCUACGCAUGUUUUGUGAAAAAAGUAUGGAUAUUGGGAUGGAAUUCUAUAUGCAUGCUGACAUGUGUCUCUUUAUACAUAAAGUCAAUGGCGGAAUUCAGAAUCUGAAGGAAAGACAAUGCUAGAUUUUAGGCAGUCAUGACAAGAUGCAAAUUAAGCUCAAAGCAAGUCGUAUUCAAACACAAAUUAGUUCCUUUCAAGCCUUUUCUCAAAGCAAGAAGGCAUGUUUGAGGAACUCCAUUUUUAUUUUAUUUGGGGAAAGAAACUGUUUCCUUGAUAAUCAUCAGAAAUCACACAUAUAACAAUUCCAUCAACCAUUGCAGAUCUACUCAAUCUCAGAACCGUGCUGAUUCUUGCAAGACAAACUAGUUUUUGAAAUGCAUGAAUAUAUUUGCAAUUUCAUAAUAAUUUUUUGACUGAACAAACCUUUUUGAAGCAUUGAUUUUCGAAAUUUGAGAACAAUUUCUGAAGUGGUGAACUUUUUUCAAAUUUUGGUGAACAUAUUAAAUAAAUUCAUGCCAACAUUUUCAAAUUCGCCAACAUUUGUUUCAAAUUCAUGAACAUUUUUUGCAUAUGUUAACUUUUUUUCGAAAUUGUGAACAUUGUUUGAUUUCCCGUUUUUUUAAAUCAAAAUCAUGACUAUUUUCUUGAAUUCCGAACAUUUUAUGAGGUUCUGAAUAUUCUUUUAGUUUUUGAAAUUUUUUCAAAAACAUCAUCUUUUUUUAUUUCCCUAAUGUGUUUUACAAUUAGGAACUUUUUGAAUUCCUUAAUAAAUUUGAACAUAAAAAUACGAAAAACAAAAACCGGAAUGAAGGGAGGAGCUGCGGGUGCGCGCGCUGUGUGUCCAGCCUGUUAUGCGGAAAAGAAAACCCUAUUUGCCGCUCUUUGCAAUAAGUUGUUGCGGUUUCGCAUAAACGAGCGAGCGACCUUUCGGGGUGGGCCGACCCGUUUAGAGUUGCAGCGAUACCGGUUUUGGGAACAUUUUAUGAUGUUUCUAGCCUAUUUAUUCUCGUUUAGGGAACGUUUUAUCUUUUUCAUUUAAUAUUUUUCUCUUCUUUUUCGUUUUUUUCAUUUUUUCCUUUUCUUGCCUUUUUUCUUUUCUUCCACCUUUUCAUUUUUCUUUUUCAAAAUUAUUUUCAGUUUUUCAACAAAUGUUCCGGAAUUUAGGAAAUGUUUGAAUUUUCCUAAUUUUGUUCACAUUUUAGAAAAAUGGUUCUGUUUUCAAAUUUUGUUCAGAAAUUUAAAAAAAGUUCGGUAUUUCAAAAAUUAUUUGCCUGUUUUCAGAAAAUGAUUGCAUUUUAAAAUUUUGUUCACAAACUAAAAACUCAAGGAUUUCAAAAGCUUGUUCCCAUUAUUCAAAAUUUGUACGCACAUUCAUAAAAUGUUCAUGCUUUUUAAUUUGUUCACAAACUCAGAAUAUGUUUGCAUUUUAAAAAUAUUUGGAAAUAAAAAUGUUCCCGUUUUUCAAAAUUUUCACAAAUUAAACAAAAUGUUAUGUUUUCGAAAUUGGUUCACGAAUUAAAAAAUUGUUCAUGUUUGCAAUUUUUUUACCAAAUCAGAAAAUCUCCGGGGGGAAUUUUGAUGCUUUUUAUUUUUGUAAAAAUUGUUCAUAAUUUCGAAGAAAACGUUCAUGUUUUCUCUUUUGUUUAUUGAUUUUCAAAAAAUGUUUACAAAAGUUUAUGUUGGAAAUUUCGCGAACUGGUUUUGAAGUUUUGUCGCCGCUGUUAGGUUCUUUAAGAUUCGUGUUGUAGUUCUUUCAGAUGGGGACUUGGUCUCGGUGGCUAGCGCAGCGUUUGCAUCUUCACGAGAUGGUGGGUUCGAUCCCUAACUUGAACUGUUUUGCGAAAUUUUACCGCGCCAAGCGAAUGCACCUCUAAUGGGCCGACCCAGGGUAAGCUGCGCCCUGUGCGAAGCCGCGAUGCCCGAUGGAGCCCAAAGUGUGCUCUAUGGGCCGGCCCCUUUAGCGAAUAUUUUUUUCGCCCGCUGUUCUCACCUGGUUUUUAUGGUUAUCUGUAGUGUUGACCACGUUUAUAGUUGACUUUUAGCGGACUAUUAUGUAUAUGAAAAAAAGUUUGUGGAUAUGAAAAGGUUUAUUUUCUAAAAUAAAACCUCAAAUUUGAAAAAAACAUUCAUAAUUUUGAUAAAGUUCAUGAAUUAAAAAAACACAAUUUCGAAAAGAAUCAUGAUUUUGGACAAAUUUAAUAAUUAGUGGGAAGUGAUUCUGUUCGGCCGGCUGAAAACGCGUCGCGCGUCCACCACCUUCUCUAAGCUACACAUGUCUAUGUUGGCCCAUGAACUUUAUCUCCUCCCCUUCCCAAUCUUAUCGCACCUUCUUUCUUCUUCAAAGGUACUACACACCUGCAACGACCAUGGCUAGAUGGAGCGCGCGUGUGUGCUACGGGGUGCGGCCGUGGCUGGGCUGCACACGCGCGGCGCAGAGGGCCCGCCCUGAGCUUGUGCUUCUCCAUGUACAUGGCCAUGGUGUCCAGGCUCGAAUAUAGAGAUGCCUUUUUGUUUUGCAACAACGCCUUUUGAUGUGGCUUUUUGCAACAUCUGCAAUGUUACAAAUGUCGGCGACGAAUGACGGUUGUGGUUUUGCGACAUGCAUCGACAAUGGUAGCAGUGCUUCUGCACAUCAUUUCGUUGCAAAAAUUUCUACAACAUUCCCUAUGCAGCUAAAGUUCUUCCGCAACAUCAGUGGUGUUGUGAAAAAAAGUGAGAAAAAAAUCUGCAACAUGUCCUCUGUUGCAAAAGUUUUGUGCAACAUGAGCUAAUGGGCCGGCCCAGGGUAAGCUGCGCCCUGUGCGAAGCCGCGAUGCCCGAUGGAGCUCAAAGUGUGCUGUAUGGGCCGGCCCCUUUAGCGAAUAUUUUUUUCGCCCGCUGUUCUCACCUGGUUUUUAUGGUUAUCUGUAGUGUUGACCACGUUUAUAGUUGACUUUUAGCAGACUAUUAUGGAUAUAUAAAAAAGUUGUGGAUAUGAAAAGGUUUAUUUUCUAAAAUAAAACCUCAAAUUUGAAAAAAAAACAUUCAUAAUUUUGAUAAAGUUCAUGAAUUAAAAAAACACAAUUUCGAAAAGAAUCAUGAUUUUGGACAAAUUUAAUAAUUAGUGGGAAGUGAUUCUGUUCGGCCGGCUGAAAACGCGUCGCGCGUCCACCACCUUCUCUAAGCUACACGUGUCUAUGUUGGCCCAUGAACUUUAUCUCCUCCCCUUCCCAAUCUUAUCGCACCUUCUUUCUUCUUCAAAGGUACUACACACCUGCAACGGCCAUGGCUAGAUGGAGCGCGUGUGUGUGCUACGGGGUGCGGCCGCGGCUGGGCUGCACACGCGCGGCGCAGAGGGCCCGCCCUGAGCUUGUGCUUCUCCAUGUACAUGGCCAUGGUGUCCGGGCUCGAAUAUAGAGAUGCCUUUUUGUUUUGCAACAAUGCCUUUUGAUGUGGCUUUUUGCAACAUCUGCAAUGUUACAAAUGUCGGCGACGAAUGACGGUUGUGGUUUUGCGACAUGCAUCGACAAUGGUAGCAGUGCUUCUGCACAUCAUUUUCGUUGCAAAAAUUUCUACAACAUUCCCUAUGUAGCUAAAGUUCUUCCGCAACAUCAGUGGUGUUGUGAAAAAAAGUGAGGAAAAAAAUCCGCAACAUGUCCUGUGUUGCAAAAGUUUUGUGCAACAUGAGCUAUGUUAUAAAAGGUUUCUGCAACAAGACUUUUAUUGCAAAAGUAGAGGAUGACAGUCAGCCGCUAGAUUGUUCUAUAUCUGAUGGUGCACGAGGCGGCGAAUCUUUAUAAAAAAAAUCCGCCGGCCAAUGCAUAGCACUCCCCAUAAUUAGUAAGAAUUUCACAAAUUUUGAAAAAGUUCAUGGCGCGAACUGUUUUUGCAAAAUUUUACCUCACGAAUCGAAGACACCGCAAAUGGGACGGUCUAGGGUAAGUUGUCCCCUGUGUGUCACAUCCCUAGUUCUGGUAUGACCUAGACUAGCUACUCAUGUGUGCAUCAUGUUUAAAUUUCAAUGAAUUUGAAAUGGGGACAUGUGAAAGCCUCAGAAAUCAUUUCUGAAAAUGACCAAGAUAAAAAUUGCUUCAAAUAGGUCUAAGAAAAUGUUCAUGUUUCUCUAUGAAAAUAUUGGACAGAGGUAAAAUUCAAACCAAUAUUUUCAGAAGCUCAUCAAUAUUUAUUUUGGACAUUUGAGUUAAUUCAAUAAUUGUUUGCAUUGGAGUUAUAUUUGUUAUAUAUUAAAUAUAACUCCAAUAACUCUGAAAGUUGGUAAGUGGCUUUGAAUACUUUUUAAAUGGCCACAUAGUAAUUUUCAGAAGUUUAUGAAAUGAUCUGGUAUUUAAAUAAAAUCAAAACCAAUUGCAGAAAAUAGAAAACAUAAAUAAAUAGAAAACCAGAGAGAGAGAAAACCUACCUGGCGCCUACCUGUGCGGCCUGCUGCUCAAGCCGGCCCAGCCCAUCUCCACCUCCCCUGUCGUCUUCCUCCUUUUGCCAGGAGGACGAAGGGCGCGUGCCCAGCCCGCGACACCACACGCCGGCGGGGUUGACCCUCUUUAACCGAGGUUUGACCUAUUGGGGAUCGUUGCAGAAAUUAAAACAUUUCUACGCAUCACCAAGAUCAAUCUAUGGAGAAACUAGCAACGAGAGAGAGGGGAGUGCAUCUUCAUACCCUUGAAGAUCGUGAUGCGGAAGCGUUACAAGAACGCGGAUGAAGGAGUCGUACUCGCAGCGAUUCAGAUCGCGGUUGAUUCCGAUCUAAGCGCCGAACAACGGCGCCUCCGCGUUCAACACACGUACAGUCCGGGGACGUCUCUUCCUUCUUGAUCCAGCAAGGGAAGAGGAGAAGUUGAGGGAGAGCUCCGGCAGCACGACGGCGUGGUGGUGGAGCUUGCAGUUCUCCGGCAGGGCUUCGCCAAGCACUACGGAGGAGGAGGAGGUGUUGGGGAGGGAGAGGGCUGGGCCAGCGGAAGGGGUGCGGCUCCCAUGCGCCUCCCCACUAUAUAUUGGGGUGGAGGGGGCUAGUUACUUGCCCUCCAAGUCCAUUGGGGCGUUGGCAAAGGUGGGGGAAAGAAAUCUCAUCAUUUCCCUUCCCCACCGAUUGUUAUCCCCCUUUUUUAGGGAUCUUGAUCUUAUCCCUUCGGGAUAUGAUCUUAUUCCUUCUAAGGGGGGAUCUUGGUGCGCCUUGACCAGGGGUGUGGGGCCUUGCCCCCACUACCCACGUUCAUGUGGGUCCCCCGUGCAGGUGGGCCCCACUCCGGAACCUUCUAGAACCUUCCCGGUACAAUACCGAAAAAUCCCGAACAAUUUCCGGUGGCCAAAAUAGGACUCUCAUAUAUAAAUCUUUACCUCCGGACCAUUCCGGAACUCCUCGUGACGUCCGAGAUCUCAUCCGGGACUCCGAACAACAUUCGGUAACUGCACACUAAUUCCCAUAACAACUCUAGCGUCACCGAACCUUAAGUGUGUAGACCCUACGGGUUCGGGAAUCAUGCAGACAUGACCGAGACAGCUCUCUGGCCAAUAACCAACAGCGGGAUCUGGAUACCCAUGUUGGCUCCCACAUGUUCCACGAUGAUCUCAUCGGAUGAACCACGAUGUCAGGGAUUCAAUCAAUCCUGUAUACAAUUCCUUUGUCAAUCGGUACGUUACUUGCCCGAGAUUCGAUCGUCGGUAUCCCAAUACCUCGUUCAAUCUGGUUACCGGUAAUUCACUUUAGUCGUUUUGUAAUGCAUGAUCCCGCGACUAACUACUUAGUCACAUUGAGCUCAUUACGAUGAUGCAUUACUGAGUGGGCCCAGAGAUACCUCUCCGUCAUACGGAGCGACAAAUCCCAGUCUCAAUUCGUGCCAACCCAACAGACACUUUCAGAUAUACCUGUAGUGUACCUUUAUAGCCACCCAGUUACGUUGUGAUGUUUGGUACACCCAAAGCAUUCCUACGGUAUCCAGGAGUUGCACAAUCUCAUGGUCUAAGGAAAUGAUACUUGACAUUAGAAAAGCUUCUAGCAAACGAACUAUACGAUCUUGUGCUAUGCUUAGGAUUGGGUCUUUUCCAUCACAUCAUUCUCCUAAUGAUGUGAUCCCGUUAUCAACGACAUCCAAUGUCCAUGGUCAGGAAACCGUAACCAUCUAUUGAUCAACGAGCUAGUCGACUAGAGGCUCACUAGGGACAUGUUUCGGUCUAUGUAUUCACACAUGUAUUACGAUUUCCGGAUAACACAAUUAUAGCAUGAACAAUAGACAAUUAUCAUGAACAAGGAAAUACAAUAAUAACCAUUUUAUUAUUGCCUCUAGGGCAUAUUUCCAACAUGACCUCCCCUGGCUCACUGACGUGUGGGCCCAAGGCCCUGACUAAUUAGUGUUAGGAUUAAAUUAGGGUUAGCUAACUUGGUUAACUAGAUGUGACACUCACAUGCGGGUCCCAUUAGUCAGUUUGACCUGGCCAGCGUCUGUUGAGUUGCUGAUGUCACACUAAUGUCAGGCUGACACAGUAAAUCAUUUUCUGUAUUAAAAGUAAUUCAGAAAUUCCAGAAAAUAGUUAAAAAAUUUAAAAAUCAUAGAAAAUAAUCUAUAGCUCAGAAUGAAAAGAUUUAUAUAUGAAAAAUUAUCAGAAAAAUCCAAUCUAUCUGUUUAUGGCAUUUUCAUGCAUGUUUGAACAACUUAUUCCUGCUGAUCAGGUCAAAUCAAUUAAAUGGCAUUUAAACAAUUACAUAUGGAGUUUGAUUUUAAACCUAGGGUUCAAACCAACUUCAUUUAAAUCGUUGCUAGUUGCAUUAGCUCAAAGCAGAGCAUGUUGCCAUGUCAUGAUCAUGCAUCAUAUUGUUGCAUUGCAUUGAUUGUGUUUAUUCUUUGUUUGUCGGUGCUUGUCCCCUCUUAGUAGACGAGGUUCCGACGAUGAGUUCGAUGACACCGAUGAAGAGCUAUACUAUCUUCAGAAGUGCCAGGCAAGCAAAACCCCCUUGUUCAUUCCGAUACAAACCCACUCUAUCGCUUCUGCUCUCUUUUACUGCAUUAGGACAACAACGAUUCAACGGUUACAUGUUGCAGUAGUUGAACCCCUUUCCUCUGCAUGACCUGUCAUUGCCACAGUAAAUAGGUGAAACCCACUAGCAUGAGUAGGAGUUGUUUGAGCCCUGAUGUGCCUACUCAUUCAUGCUUGUUGUCAUGCCUGCUACUGCUUAGAUUUGAGUCAGGUCUGAUUCAUCGGGGAUGAAUUGGUAUGUGGUGAACAUGUCCUACUGUUGAGAGCUAAGUGUGUGAACACGAUUUGGUAAAGGUAGCGGUGAGAUGCCAUGUCGGAGUACAUGGUGGGUUGUCUCAUUGAAACCGUCCUCAGGAACUGAGUUCUGUGUUUGUGAUCCAUGAACAGCUACUACCACACGUUGGGCCCUGAAAUAUGACCCCGCUCGACUUAUUAACCCCCAUGUCCUCUGUCCAGGAGUUGCAAGUAGUUUCUGGUGUUUGUACUAUGCUGGAGGUCGUGCGCAGCGCUGACCCGAGGGGUGGGCUGUGAUGCGGUAGGCACAUGGCACGGUGUACCGGGAUGCCCGUUUGGUGCCUCGAGAACCCUGCACACAUUGUUCGGGGCUGUAAGUGGAAACCUCGGCCGGACUCCCUUCGGAUGGAACCUGAAUAGGCGAUAAACCUCGAAUAGGGACUUGUGUGGUUAGUCAGGUCAUGGUCUACACCCACGUCGGCUUUCGCUUGAAGUCCGCCGAGCACAUGUCGUGUGUAGACGCUAAGUGGUGGAAACAUGUGUGAAGAAGUACACCCCUGCAGGGUUAUAAAUGAUCUAUUCGAAUAGCCGCGUCUGCGGUAAAGGACCUCUGGGUUGCCUAUACAGUUCAUAGACAAGUGAAAGUGGAUACUCUAAAAUGCGCAAGAUAAGCGUGAGUACUAUGGAUGGCGUUCUUGUAGGAAGACGGGAGCGGACCCAUAGUGGUGUAUUGAUUGGUGAAUAUGUGGAAUCGUGUGCGCCACCUCAAAAGAGUUACUUGCAGUCCUAGUUUAGGAUAGCUACCGAGUCAAAGCUGGCUUGCUGCAGUUAAACUCCACUACCCCUUUGUUGAUACCGAUGCAUAUGUAGUUAGUUCUGAUGUAAGUCUUGCUGGGUACAUUUGUACUCACGUUUGCUUAAUUUAUAUUUUUGCAGAGAGACUUCAGUCUCGCUAGUAGUUCCGUGUGGACUUCGACGUUUAGCUUGUUAACUCAGCUACGAUCUUGUGCCCUCGACAGGGUCUUGUAGAUAGUCAGGCUUCUCAGCCUUUUCUUUUGUAGUUGUCUGUACUCAGACAAGUUAAGCUUCCGCUUGUGCUUGUUGCUUGUAUGACUUGAAUGCUGGGUCAUCAGACCCAUGUUUGUAAUACUUGGCUCCUCGAAGCCUAAUAAAUAAAUACUUUGAGUCAUAGAGUUAUGUUGUGAUGCCAUGUUGUAUUUGCACACAUCGAGCAUAUUGUGUAUAUGAUUUGAAAUGCUUGGUAUGUGUGGGAUCCGACAACCUAGUUGUUUAUCCUUGGUAACCUCUCUUACUGGGAAAUGUCUCCUAGUGCUUCCACUGAGCCAUGGUAGCUUGCUACUGCUCCGGAACACUUAGGCUAGCCGGCAUGUGUCCUUCUUCGUUCCUGUGCGUGUCCCUUCGGGGAAAUGUCACGCGGUGUCUACCGGAGUCCUGUUAGUCUGCUACAACCGGAUUCUCCGGAGUCAUGUUAGCCUAGCUGCUACAACCCGGAUUCACUCGCUGAUGACCGACACAUUCGUUGCUGGGUCAUGUAUGCCUGUCCCUGUAAGUUAGUGCCACUUUGAGUUUACGACUAGUCAUGUCGGACCGGGUUCUUUGUCAUAUGGAUGCUAGCGACACUAUCAUAUACGUGAGCCAAAAGGCGCAAACGGUCCCGGGCCAGGUAAGGUGGCACCCGUGGGAAUACCGUGUGUGAGGCCGCAAAGUGAUAUGAUGUGUUACAUGCUAGAUCGGUGUGAUUUAGGACCGGGGUCCUGACACUGUGCGAAGCCGCGAUGACCUAUAGAGCCCGAAGGCUGCUGUAUGGGUCGGCCCCUGUAGCGAAUGUUUUUUUCGCCCACUAUUCUCACCUGGGUUUUUAUGGUUGAUCUGUAGAGUUGACGUUUACAGUGGACUUUUAAGAGAAUAUUAUGGAUAUCAAAAAGGUUUGCAGAUUUGAAAAAAUUGUUUUUUAAAUAAAACCUUCAUAAGUUCGAUAAAGUUCAUGAAUUUGAAAAAAUAUCACAAUUUUGGAAAAAAAUACGAAUUUGGAAAAUUUCAACAAUUGUGAAAAAUUCACAAAACUUAAAUAAGUUCAAAAUUUUGAAAAACUUCAGAAAUUUGGGAAGGUUUGCGGAGUAAAAAAAUUCACUAAUUUCAAAACAUAAUAACCAAAUAAAACCGAAGAAAACCCGGUUUUGAAAACAAAAAUAAAAUAAUAGAAAAUAGGCCGGAAGCUCUCAAAAGUUUCCCAGAACUAGGAGAGAGCUUCCCCGCUCGAGCGCUCGUGUUACUUAUAUGGGCUGGCCCAUUUGUAGUCUAUCAGUGGUUCGGGUUGUGUGUUGUGUACGAUUAAGCCUAUAACUGAUGCUAUGGGUGCCAAAUAGGAAUUUCCUCUAACCCGCAACAAGCAAGAUAUAGCUUUUGCGGCCCUGCGAUGUUAGGCAGACCAAUUAUCAUGAAAUUGUAAAAGGACUUGAAAACACAAAAAUGUUCGCCACCCAGAAAGAAAAUGCACGAAGAAACUUAGACUAGUUACAUAGCACGACCCAAAUAACACCAACAAAUCUACCCCGUCCUGAAUCUCUACACCUUAGAUUUGUGCUCAUGGAAUUAACUAAUAUUUAACUAAAGACAACUGUAACGACAGGCGCUUAUUGUGUGGACACUAAUACAAAUAAGAUAUGAAUAUUAUAAAAUUACCUGCCCUCUCUCUCAGGACGGGACACUAAUUAUAGAUGCAACACCGUCGUUCGACCGGUGUAUUCGCUGCAAACCUUGUACGGAAAAGGGCAACCAUCGUUGACAUUAAUGCUACAUAUACGGGCUUUUUGUUUACACAGGAUUACAGAGGAGGUGAUUUGGACGCGUACUAUUAGUUGGUGGAUGGGCCCUUCACCAGAAAUUCAGAGAGGAGAGACUAUUGACAAAUUACACACUGUCUGCGGUAUAACAACCCCGUAAAGCCAUGUACAUUUAGGAUUACUAGCACCAAUGCCCGUGGGUUGCAACGGGAAAAAACAACGAUUCGUAUAAACCACGUUGCCGAGCUGAGAAACUGUAUCGUGGGACAAUGAUCGCCGAUGAGAAAAAGGCGUUGAAUCAUUUGAGGACGACAACAAUCAAACCAACCUAGAAUAACAAUUGCAACACCAACAUCAGCAAGCAAACCAACCUAGAUGGAAACUAAUUCAGGAAAACUUCCAUAAUUUAACAUAUCUACUUGGUCAAAUGCAACUUUAUCAUGCAAACCUAAAAAGUUUAGUAAAUAAUCAGUCAUUGACUUCACAUGGAAUUAAAUUGCAUAUGUAGGUAAACUGUAAUUGCGGCCAAUGAAUUGCGGACUCUAGAUGGAAGUAGCAAAACCCACAUGGAAGCAAGCAAAGAAAUCAUCUAAACAAAGGUGGGAAAAAAAGAGUGUGGAUAAAAAUCACUGGUGGAAGACUUACCUUUGGUUCGAGGGUUAGUGGAUACAGUCAGAUAUUUUAUGUACUUUUUUGUUUUGUAAUCCAGUCACAUGUAAUCGAUCGAUUUUAUUAUAACAGCUAUGUUUUUGGAGUCUCCUGUGAGAGAACCCGUGUUGCCAUAUAUGCAUGCCCCACAAGAAUCUGUAGCCAUUCAUUUAAUUAACUCGUCAUUAUGAUUAGCCAAUCAUAAUUAUCUGCGUCAUGCACGUCUCUCAGAAAUUGCCAUAUACUCUGUUUAAUUAGCCCAACAUUAAUUAGCCAAUCAUAAUUAUAUGCAGUAUGAUGUCUCGUCUCUUGGGAAUCCCACUCAAUUAGCCCACCGUUAAUUACCUUAAUCUGUUUUAUUAGCCCACCAUUAAUUAACCAAUCAUAAUUAUAUGCAUCAUGUAUCUCUCUCGGGAAUCCCAUUCAAUUAGCCACCUUUAAUUACCUCAUUCUCUUCCUUCCUUAUCUCUUUUUCUCACGUUUUUUCUUUCCUUAUUAUCUCUGGGCCACGUUGUUCGAAAUCACAAAUCCUCUCAAUCUUUCCUUAUUGAAACCCAACACGUAGGACACGACCGAUGAGCGAUUACAAAAGAGAACUGUCCGCUUUUCUUUCAGGCAACAGGUGCUAAAUUGGUUGGUUAACGCGUGCGGGCCUAUAUCUCGCCAACCCGGGUUCGAUUCCCAUCUAGCACAAUUUAUCUUUUGGAAGCAACGUACACACAAAUGGGCGGUGUGUCAAAAAAAACCACAACGUACGAAAGUGCAAACGACCGACAAAAGGAGGACGGCGUACAAAAACACUAAUGGACAAAAAAUAGUGGAGAAACAAUUCAUCCUUUAAUACUCCCUCCGUCCCAUAAUAUAGGUAAGAUAAAGAUAAAGAUUUCCUGACUAUGGGAUCGAAACUACAACUACCAAAGAGUGACCUCUGUUUUAAACCCUGAGGUAGAACUACAAUUAGGUAAGAUGAAAUUGGUACCCUCAACUUGCUGAUCCCGAUCAAUUUGGACCUUAGAUCCGUUUGCUGCACCGGGAAAAAGAAGAUCCAGGCCGGGAUCAGUCGCUACUCUCACUGAGGCGGGGCAAGUUGGUGCUUGAGGGAAGGGCCAGGAUGAUGGGCCUCGAGGCGGAGGCGGCGCGGCGACGCGCCUAGGAGGGUCACUUACGCAUUGCGAUUGCGGCCGCCCGCCGCCGUACGGUGCGAGGUGGCGGCUCCCUGCGUCCACGUGCUCCGGUGGCUCAAGGCGUGCGCGCGCGAUGAAAGGAAGAUGCCGGACCCUCCCGUGGACGCCGAGGUGCAAGUGCCCAUGAGACAACGCCAGUGCGUGACCGCGGCCACCGGGAGGAUUCGCUGACUAGCCGUGCUCGGUUCCUACGUGCCUCCCCCACCACCGCGUCGUCCUGACUCGCGCAUGGCACAGGACCGUCAUCUACAACAAUCGGCAUUCUAAGGCGCACCCACACCGAGCCAAAGCCAUGGACCGACGGACGGGGUUGCAGCUCAGGUGGCUAGCAGCUGGGGUGCGGGUUGGCGUGCACGGCACGCGCGUACAACACGCAAAGAGCGGCUUAACUACAGGGGUUAGUGCACGCAGAGAGAGAAAGAAAUUGGAAUAGGGGUGGUGAGCGUGCACUGCGUGGCCAUCGCGUGCUCAGCGCGGCAUGCACUCUGACGGACUACUCCUAGAGAAAUCAAUCAACCUGUAUGUUUGCUUCCGAGCAACUCUAGUUUUGAACAUAUGUCUAUCUACUAUCAUUAAUCGAUCUAGAAUCCUAAGUUCCUAACAGCAACAACGUCUUGGCGAUGGAGGCCGUCCAUGAAGCCGAUCGAAACGUGCGGCAUUCGCCUUGGCCUCCACCGACGGCAUGUGCAAGGUCGGGAGCAUCGUAGAUGGCCACAUCCCCGUCGCUUCUGUUGUCGCACGCAGACGAGCGGUUCGCACGAGCUCGUUUCGGGAGCUGGCUAUGUGAUCGGUAAGAGACAGGGAGGGGAAAGAGAUCGAGGAAGGAGUAUAUGGCAGGUAGGCCCGUGUGGUCAGUGAGACAAACAAGGGAUCCCGGACAGGAUUGUCCUUCCAAACAGGUCUAGGGGCGGUUUAGGGUUAUAAUUGAUCGGGAUCGAUGAGGUCAGGGUACCAACUUCAGGGAUUUAGAGGUGAAGGUUUAUUUCCGUCGUGGUCUACAAUCUCAGGGUUAAAAACAGACUUCACUGGUUGACAAUUACCUGGCGCCAUCCACUAGCGCCCAAUGAUGGAGAUGGCCAAAUACAUACCUAAUUGACAAUUACCAAAUAUGAGAAAAACAUGCACUCCUUUUAAUUUAUCUAUAUUCUUAUAAAUUUUUAUUUAUUACCACCCCUUAAAAAAUAUUGAAAUGACUCAGACAACACAAACAAGCAAACCCAAUGGUUGGGUGCUCUGUUCAGACUGUAGGAUUCUACGGCAGGGCGGGUCGACUACAAAUUAAAAAUUUCUACCCACAGAACAUCCAGGAACACACUACAAGAGAUGGAUCACGGAUCGUUACCACUAGACGUGCAAUGCCGUGCAGCAGAAGUAGAUUUGGGGCAGCGCGUCUCCGGAGUCGUCUCCGCCUCGAUCUCCCAGGUAGCCGAUCGGAUCGCAUGAACAGGUUCGACGGAGCGGCACAAGUAUACCGCCUCUAACGGUAUCCGCACGUGCAGGAGGAACACCGUGCGGCGGACUGCUAGUUCCAUCUGCUAGUUCCAUCAAACAGCCGACAGCGAGUGGAGGUGGCUAGUUGCAACACAUGCAAGGCCCUAGUGGAGACGCCACAGCAAUCAACUGAAACGGUAUGUCGCACCUCCACUAUAUAUAGGCAUCCGUCCCGGGCUCAACACUUGGGCCUUGCAUGGAUUCUAAAGCCCAAAGUUUGUUCGGCAUGGAUCCUAGUCCGAGUGGGAUCACAUCUGACUCGUGGAGUCGGAUCCAGCCUUACAGGUUCCUUCACUUAAGUGCGCGACCCCUUAGGUUCAAGUCAUCUUGGUCGCAGGUUGGAUCACCUCCGACUUGCUCGGUUGGUAGCGGCAUCUAGCAAGGCGUGACGACCACCAAGUAGACAAUGAAGCCGGUUGGCUUACCUGUACAACAUGUCACACUUCUAUUCUCUUUGCCACACGAUAUAUGUUGUCGGGCUCAAGGCGAGUCGGUCAUCUUUGUACUAGCCCGACCUAUUUCUCGUUCUAGUGAUGCCGACAACGAACCGGAUUAUCUCAUAAUCCUUGUCGCAUGGCCAUGCUUAUCCAGGUUGAAUCACACGAGGGCCCCAGAGUAUAUCUCUCCUGAUUGGAGGGGCAAAUCCCAUCUUGCUCGACCAUGUCUCGUAGCAUGGGUCUGGACAAGUCGAAAAUCUACAUUUAUAACUACCCAGUUAUGGAGUAGCGUUUGGUUGGCCAAAGCAGGUCUGUCACCAUCCCGAGUACAUGCGCCAGCUCAGGUGUUAGGACAUAGAAUGUAUGUUGUACUAGGGACUCACAUAUGACCUAUCGCCGCAUAUCAUAGUCGGGUCUGUACAACUUGGACCUUAUCUGGAUCGUAUGUCGAAUCCGACCAGAUCUUUGUGAGUCCAUACUAUCCGGAUAGCAUCCAAUUCUCCAUGGCCAAUGAGACCAAGCCAUCCACCGUGUCAUAUGCUAGUCUAGUCGGCUGUGCGUGCAGACAACCCUUUCGACUAGGGACUUUUUAAGGCAGUCAUCAUAUAAUGCCUAGUCCCACAAACAAGUCAUGUGCUUGCUGAUACACAUCAUUGAUAAUGUCCAAGAACUAUCUUUAUUCACAAACACAUAGGAAGAAGCAUCAUACAUGAUUUCCACUAGGGCAUAUCUCCAAUAGUCUCUCACUUACACUAGAGUCAAUCAAAUAGACAUUUAAUUCCCAUAGCUCUGACGUGCCCCUCAUGCUUGGGUUGUGGAAGCGACUUAGUGAACGGUUCCGCAACAUUUCCAUCCAUGUGAAUUUUGCAUAACUCUAUAUCACCACUCUUUUACGAUCUUCUGCAUGAGGUGAUAUUUUCAAUCUAUGUGUUUGGUCUUGUGGUGGUUCCUCGGCUCCUUGACUUGUGCGAUGGAACCAAAACUAUUACAAUAAAGGUCCAGUGGUUUUACCAUUGCUGGAAAAAUACCAAGAACAUUCAGAAAGUUCAAGAUCCAAGCACCUUCCUUUGCAGCUUCACAAACCACUAACGACCACAACACCCGCGGGGAGAGGGGUCACAUAUUCGCGGGCACAACCCGGACUGAGCCCACCAUCACCUACCCGGAGUGAAAACUCUAACCCGCCUCGGGCCCUAAUCAGAUCUGCCCGAGCACGGACCCCAAGUCCAGGUCAUCUCCGUCGCGCAAGCAGCGGGCGCCACCGACGUGGACCCAAGAGAAGGGAGGAACCACUACCAUGCACACCACGCUGUCAACCGCCACCGCCCGAGCCACCAUGACCACAUCGACGACCGCUGCAACCACGCCCCUGGCCUGCCGCAGCCAGCUGAGGCCGCUAGACCGAGCCACCACGAGCAAGGACUACUACUUCGGAGCCCCCACCAUGCAAUCAUCGUCGCAGCAGAGGCCGACCUGUGCUGCCCAUGACCCUCGUUAGAGAGGCAGCUACCUGUCAGAUUUCGCCGAGGCCCCACUACCGCCACAACCACCUCCGGGCGCUCCACUACCCACCACGCGGCCUAUGCCACAACCGUCGCACAGGCGCCCGCCACUACACCUACACGCCGGCCCCUGCACGCGAGGGGACGAGGAAGCCCCGCUGCCGCCGGCUCCAGUCGAGCUUUGCCCACCUGAGUCCUGUGGCCGCGGCUAGGGAGGAGGGGCGGGGAACCUGGUGGCGGCAGACUAGGGUUACCUCCCGGCUGCCGCGGGAGGCGUUGGAGGAAAGAGAAUCUCCGAUCAUAUUACCAUUCACCGCCAAAUUUGUUUAUCAUUAUCACCCAUCUUAAAAAAUACUGAAAAUGUCUGUAUUACCACUUUUGAUACAGGCAGAGAAGAUGCGCGGGCUGGCGCAGUCAAUUUCCGGCAGCCAGUCGAGUCUCAUCAGUUGCAAGAAGGUAAAUGUUCGAACUAUAUAUGCCGGUAGCGGAAAGAAGCUUUAUAUAACACCUCACCUAUGCUUAGUGCGACGCACGAUCAUAGUACUGCCACCCCACUAAAGACUGAAAGUACGUGUAUGCCACAACCAUGCAACAGUCGAGCAACCAAACAGCCAGAGCCUCUCUUUUAUGAAAUGGCUUCCAUCGAUGUCUCAUUCUACAUCUUUUGUGGCAGCCCGUGUGAGGUAACGCAACAAACCAACAGAUCAGCCCGUGUAAACUCCGCGUCUUCCCCACGAUGACAACCUCGUCUCGAUCGUCUCAUCGUCCCUCCUGCAUGACGCGCCGCCUUCUGACGCCAUGCAAGCGAGCCCUCGCGCGGCUCUUCCGCAUCCCGGCCUCCGCCGCCCUCUCUAUCAGGGCCUUCCGGUUCCGCAAUCUCCGCAAGUCCACCGCCAAGAUGAGCCCCCGCCACCGGCGCCGUGCCGGCCGAAGCUUCCGCUCGGUCCGCGCGGUGUUCUGGCCGUUAAUCCCUCCGUCUUCCACGCCGGCAACCUCGACAGAGAGCCAUACCGCGCGCAGGGUAGUUGCUGCGGCGGUGCCAGAGGUGCCGGUGCCGUCGCCAGAGACGCCUGCGUAUGUGAAGAUGGUGGCGCGGCUGCGGUCGAGGACGACCACGCGAAUUGGAGAGGACAAAGAGGAGGCAUGCCAGAGUUUUGAGAGCUGCCUGAUGGGGAUUUUGACGGAGGAAGGCAAAGCGCGGGACCUGCAGGACGUGGAGGAACUCCUACAGUGCUGGGAGCGGCUCAAGUCGCCGGUGUUCGUCGAUCUGGUCUGCCGGUUCUACGGCGAUCUGUGCAAGGACUUAUUCUCCUCCGCCGCCGGGGGUGAGAACGGCGGAAACACUAACCAGGACGUGGGACCAGUUUCCAUGUCGGCUGCUUUACUAGUGUAACUCGUUACCACAUCGUGUUGUAAGUUCGUAACACAAAACACUUAAUUUUACAGUUUACGCUAUGAUGGCCUUCCCUGAAAAAAAAUAUCGUAAUGGAUGUCUGGAUGGCGACGUGCAAUGGCCUGAGCUGAGCUCGAGAGCUAUGUCUCAUUUGAGACGGUAGCUUCGGGAGCAACUCGUUGACGAGCGUUUCUUCGGGAGUCUCCCAACGAUAAUUUUGGAUGGGCUGAGAGCACAUCACUUCACGCGUUGUCAUCCGCCGUCACGUGUCACGCUUUGGAUGUUUUCUCUAAUUUAUUUAUUUAUUUAUUUCACGUGUUUUCGGCUUUUUAGACUGUUUAUUUUCUGGGUUUUCUCGGCUUUUUCGUUUUUCAUCGGUCUUACUUAGCUUUUAGACAAAAAAUGAUUUUUUAUUUUACUUUUCAUGGAAAAACUUUUUUCUUCUUUCACGAGAGGCAUGAUUUUGAUUCGGCAUGAAGCACGAAUUUGCUUUCGCAAGAGGCAUGACCGUGCCUCUUCCGAACAAAAAAUAUAUUUUCUUCUUCUUUUCCCUUCCCGAGAUUAGAUAAUGCAUGACGAGGACUUGACUCUUGACUUACACAAGAACUUUAAGAAAGAAGAAAAGCUUGAAUUAUCCGAAAUGACAAGCUCCCACGGUUUUGCUUCUGUGAGAGGCACGGUUUUGCUUCCAUGAUAGACACAUCUGUGUCUCUUGGAAACGAAAAAACACGUUUUCUCUUCUUUUUUUUCCUUCCGUGAGAGGCACGGUUUUAUUUUUGCGAGAGGGGCGGCUUUGCUUUCGUGAGAGGCACGGUCAUGCCUCUCGGAAACAAAAAAAAACACGUUAUUUAUUUAUUUUUUCCUUUCACGAGAGGCAUGGUUUUUCGUGAUUUUUUUUUCGUUAAAACCUACCAACAUGGGAUUUAGUUUUGAAGAUCUCGAUGCGAGGAAUCAAACGGUGAAAACAGUUUAAGAUUUGGACGCACAGUUUAAAAGAUAAAAUAUUUUGAAUAAACGAAUUUAGAACUAAAAAGAAAAAACAUUCAAGUUGUGACAAAUGAUACACAUUCAACGUAUCACUUGUCACAAACUAAAGAAAUAAUAGUGAUCUUUGAAAAAGACUACUCCUCAUUGAUUUCCGCUAGGUUCUCUUGUCUGACCCAGCCGGCCCAUCUUUCUUUCGAUUACUGGCACCCGAAGCUCACUCAUGAGCGAUUGCUUCGCUGUUUUCAAUUUUUUUUCUUUUCUUCUCUGCUUUUUUAUAUUUUUCCCACCAGAUUUCUUUGUUACGGUUCUUUUUAAUUUUUCUGCUUUCUUUGUUUUUUCGUCGCUUUUUUUCAUUUUUUCUCAAUUUCCAUCGGUUUUUCAUUUUUUUAUUUCUUUCUUUCGCUGCUUUUAAUGGUUCUUUUGCUUUUCUUUGUUUCUUUCUUGAUUUUCAUCGGUUUUCUUUAUGUUAUUUGUUUCUUUUUCGGUUUUCUUUGUUUCAUUCUUUUACAUUCAUUUCUUCAGUUUCUCUUUUUUUGGUUUUUAUUUUUUUUAGUUUUUCUUUGUUUCUUUGUUGAUUUUCACCUGUUUCUGUUUUGUUCAGUAUGUCUUAACAUUUUUCGUACACAUUCAACAUUUUUUUAUACAUCAAAAAUAUUUUUUCAUAUACAUGUUUAACAUUUUAAAAUACAUGGUUAAGAUUUUUUAUGUCUAUCUUUUCUCCAAACACAUACAUUUUUGGUACUCCCUCCGAUCCGUAUUAUUUGCCUUAUAUUUUUCUAGAUAUGAAUGUAUGUAACACUAAAACAUGUCUAAAUACAUCCGUCUCUACACAAAUAUAAGACAAGUAAUAUAUAUUGGAGGGAGUAUAUAUCAAAUACAAUUUUUCUGAUACACAUGUAACAUCUUUCAAAUACAAGUUUAACAUUUUUUUAAUACAUGAUCAAUAUUUUUUGUACACAUAUAACACUUUCUUCAAAUACUUGAUUAACAUUUUUUAAUAUAUUGACAACUUUUUUUCUACACAUAGUAAUCAUUUUUCAAAUGCUUGAUUAACAUUUUUCGAAUACAAGGUUAACAAUAUUUUUAAUAUAUGGUCAACUUUUUUUCCUCGAUACAUUUAACAUUUUUAAAUGCUUGCUUAAUUUUUCUGAAUACUUAUUGAACAGUUUCUCAAAUUCUUGAUUAAAUUUUCUGAAAUACAGGAUUAAUUUUUUCACACACAUUGUAUAAUUUUUUAUAUAUAUGAGAAACAUUUGCUAUAUACAUAUUUAACAUUUUUCAAAUGCUUUUUUUAAUGUUAUAUGUAAAUUGUUUUUUAAUAUGUUUAUUCCAAAUAUUUUUGAAGUAUAGACAAAAGUAGAAAAAGAAAGCAAAAAACAAACACAAAAAAUGUGAAAAAGUGAGGUUAUGGCUCCCGCGCGCCUAGGCCGGCCCAUCUUGCGCUGACCUUCAUGUGAUAGUUCGCUAUGUCGCGCCCUAGGCUGAGUGAGAUGAGUGGUGGGAGGAUGGACCUGUUGAGGUAAAUUCGGUAGAAUUAGUGAAAUAUGUUUUUAGAGGUCAUCAUCUAACUAACUUUGAUAGCCUAAACAAUCUUAACUAAAUUUGGUUAGUGACCACUAGCAAUUGAGAUCAUUCCCAAAAAUAAAACAUUCUAAAAAAGUUAGCAACCAAAUUAUCAAGGACUUAAUGGUGAUGUACAUAACCUUUUGGCCAAUUAUAAGGCCAAUUUGGCAUGCAAAAAGCAAGUUCAUUCACGAGGACAUCCAUCAUAGCCCCUAUCGACUUUUGCUUUUGUACAAAAUUUCCUACAAGAACUAGAGAUCAUGAAGUAUCCCAAAAUUAGCUCUAAGCCUAGGUUGUCCUCCACACCAAGCAUGUGCACUAGCCACCAGGCAUUAGGCCGACCCGAUCUCCUCUUACCACCGCCUUCCUGACAACCCCUUAUCACCUCCUUCCUCCAUGCCACCACCAUCGUUGACGCCUAUCUCGACUUGGACACGAACUCUCCUCGAGCAUGCUCCAAUGGGGUGCCCUACACAGACUCCUUGGCUAAUUCCACACACCAAAGGCACAUAAAAAGGUUUUGAAUCCCUUGACCAAAAGCCAAGCUCAACUGUGAGUUCCUGUGCAAAACGUUUCCCAUCUGAAGCAUCAUAUCUCACCAUUCCACCGUUUUUGCCAGGACUCCCUUCCACCCAAGGUAUGUCGUUCAGUGCCUUCAAGUGUUGAUACACAUAAUCCAGUCAUCCAUCAUGUCGGCUUAGUUUUUCUUUAAUUACAACAUCGCUCUUUAUGCAUUCAUUUGUGUGUGUGUGGGGGGGGCAUGCACUUGAUGCAGGUGAGAUGCUGGUGAUUCCCACCAUUACUACAAGUAAGUACGUGUAAGGGUAGGGAAGGGUCUUCAUUGGCGAGGAGGAGAGGCAACGUGAGUGAAUUUUAGACUAGGGGGCAGGAGUGUGGAUGAUGCAUACACCAUGUGUAAAUGAGAUUAGGGUGGCUGCCACCAUCAUGAUGAGCCCAUGAAAAUACAAGGUGGUGCAGGGAGAAGGUCAUGAAGGUAGCUUGCUGUGUAAUGAUCGAGAUAAUUGCAAUGGUAUUAAUCACGUUCGUUGUGAAGAGGUGAACAACGUCGCCGCCAUCGGCACUGUGACGAAGAGAAGAAAGGGAAACACAAAUGGCUCGCUAGGGACAUGUUUAUCCCGAUGAAAAGCACGUGCACAUCUCUUAGUGCAAUAUAUAUUGCCACGGAAGCGAGCUAAACUAAGCCAGCCCACUGUUGCGUUUGGUUUUCGGAGUACUUUGUUUACUAUCGAUUCAGUUAUUUUCGGAUCCGGGUUUGGUCGUUUUCCACGGGAAUUGGUUUUCCACAAUAGCAUAAGUAUCCGGCUUUCUACAUUUUUCUUUGCGUUUUCUUGAUUUUUGUUCUUUUUUCUUCUUCUUAUUUUUUUGUUUUCAUCUGUUUUUACUUUUUGAUACAUGUCGAAAAUUAUCUAAAUACACAUUAAGCAUUACGAAAUACAUGCAAACAUUUUUUGAAUGCAUGCUUGACUUUUUGGUACAUGUUGAAUAUUUUUAAACAAACUAUAAAUAUUUCUCAAAUAAUGUUGAACAUUCUGAAAUGAAGGAUGAAUAAUUUUAAAUACAUCAUUUAAAAUGAGUAAGCACUUUCUUCCAAUUUCAGUGACAAAUGUGACAUUUUCUAAUUUUAAUUUGUUAGAAAAUAAAAAUAAAAUGAGAAAAUCAGAGAAGACCGGACCAAAAAAUCAUGUAAAACUGGUAGAAAACUGCAUGUAGAAACCAACUAGAAAAAUCGCUAGAAAUCCAUGACUAGGCCGGCACAGGUGGAUCACCCGUUGGCGAGUGCUAUAUAUCGCUUGUAGCUUGAUGUUGUGACUCAGAUAGAAGACACGUUAAGGCCAACGCCAUUUAUGGAGCUGAGCAUGUUCUCUAACCUCGUGAUCCUUGUGGGUGUGUGGCGAGGUGAAUCCCUCCUAUUUGACGCUCAUUGGUUCAAAGUGUCAGGGUUUCACACAGGGCCUGGAGUCAUGGGCCAAAUCCAAUACGGUGGUUGGGCAAGCAAUGUUUCUCGUAUCUUUUUUCAAUAGCCUUUUGUUUGUUUUUGAUAUUUUCGAGUGUGCUCUUUUGCUUUUCUUCUGUAGGUUUGUUCAUUUAUCUGCCAUCAUUUUUCCUUUGCCGGGUUCCAAUUUUUUGCUUUUAUUUAUUUAAUUUUAAUAUUUUUUCAUUUCUCCUUCUCAUUUUGUACAUAUAUUCUAUAUAUCUGAAAUUGUUCAUGUUUUGAAAAUUCACAAAAUUGAAAAAAAUGUUCAUUUCCUAAGGUUAGCUACAAAUUUUGAAAAUUCCAACUUUAGAAAAUAUUCAUGAACCUAGAAAGUAUGGAAAAAGGAAAAUUAAAAAUUAAAGGAAUCGGGAGCAAUCCCGAAAAGGAAAGUUUUUCUUUGAAAAACGUUAGAAACCAGCGUUCCAUUGUGUUUUUCCCCAACAUUCUAAUGCACAGUGUCAAAUAGGAGGGGAUUUCUCGGUGAGAUCGUCCUACCAUGCGGAAUGGGAACACCAACCUGGACGAAAAUUGAGAAGGACAAACUCUAUUGAAGCCUCAAGUACUAGCCCAAUUUGGAGUGUUGUUUGGAAAUUGCAUGUUCUGGCUAAGAUCAAGAUCCAUGUCUGGAGAAGUUUAUUGGGUGCAAUACCUUGCUACAGUGUUCUGACCAAUAGGCACAUGGCCACAAUUCUCAAUGCCCCCUCUGUAUGGCGGACUGCGAGAGCAUCACACACACGUGGUGGCUACAUUCAACGAUGACUAAGGUACUGGAGCUUUGGGUGCUAUUCUUCGCGACUAUAAUGGAUAUUUUUUGGCGAUGUCUUGCAGCCAUAUUCCCUUUGUUGAUGACGCUGCAUUGGCGGAAGCCCGAGGUCUUCGAGAUGGCCUUAUCUUGGCAAGUGAUAUUGGAUGCAAUAACAUAGUGGUCCAAGCUGAUUGCAUGGAGGUAAUUCAGGUGAUGCAAGAUGGUGGCACUCGUUAGGACCAGCAGCAACAAUCUUCGAGGACUACACUUUAUUAUGUCGUAAUUUUAAUUAUGUUAGUUGUUAUCAUUGCCCUAGGGAGGCCAAUAUGGCGGCAAACUUGUUAACUAGUAGAUCGGAGGUUUUCGCAAACCUUGAAUUGGCAAGACGAACCACCUGAUUUUCUAGUGGAUGUACUCCUAACCGAUGUAUCAUUGUUACCGCAUGAAAUAUAAACCGACAUGAUGUGAGUUGGGCGGGAGUACAUGCGUGUGGACGCUAUAGUUGGAAACGGCAUGGAGAUUGUCCAGGAGGGACGAAAUGUUGUCCAUGAAUUGAGCAUCUUGUCAGUGAUGCGUCGGUGAUCCCAUGCCUUGCUGACCCGUAGAUGUGGGACCCAAACAAAUAAAUAUCGCAAUAAAAAGCUCAUUUGCCUUGUUCCAAAUAAAUAACUAUGCAACGAAUAGCAAGUUAGUGUGACGACGACAUAUUACUUCUUCUUUUUUAUGAGAAAUAUAUUACUUCUGUCAUGCGUCAGUGAUAUGAUACUUAAACAGAAGAAUAGUAGAAUGGUACACACUACUAUUCAUCAACCCACGAAGGGGUAAAUAUACAGAGUACAUGGUGGUGACAGCCACAACUAUGUACGGGCAUGCACAACGUGCACCAAGUCGUGGGGCGUGGCAUGCGGUAGCAGAUCAGGUACAAGACGUGGGACUCGGUCCCUGUUACACUAGCAACGGGCAUCUUCCAAUAGCCCCCGCAGUCGCAACGGGAUCAUUGAGGACGUUGAGGCUAGACCGGAAGUCGGGGAAGAUGGGCGUCGGGAGCCCCUUCAUGAAGAUGUCGGCGAACUGUGACGUCGAGGGCACGUGGAGGACCCGAACGUCGCCGAAGGUGACACGCUCACGAACAAAGAGAAGGUCGAUCUCGAUGUGCUUCGUCCGUUGGUGCUGCACAGGGUUGGUGGAGAGGUACAUCAUGCUCACAUUGUCGCAGUAGACGACGGUCGCCGCGGACGGGGGCCGUCGGAGCUCGCGGAGUAGCUGCCGGAGUCAAUACGCCUCAGCCACGUCGUUGGCGACGGCCUUGUACUCCGCCUCGGCGCUGGAGAGCGAGAUAGUCGGUUGACGCUUCGAGGACCAUGAGACAAGGUUGUCGACAACGUAGAUGCAGAAGCCUGAUGUAGACUUGCGUGUGUCGGGACAGCCGGCCCAGUCGGCGUCCGAGUACGCAAUCAACCUGUGGUAGGAGGAGCGCCGAAGAUGAAGACUGAGUUGCAAGGUGCCGCGGAUGUAGCGUAGGAUCCGCUUGAGGACGGUGUAGUGCGGUUCACGCGGGUCGUGCACGAAUAGACAGACCUGCUGAACAGCGUAGGCGAUGUUCGGACGCGUGAGGGUGAGGUACUGGAGAGCUUCCGCUAAGCUGCAAUAGUGAGACGGGUCGGAGAGGGGAGGGCCGUCGGAAGCGGAGAGCUUGGAGCGAGUGUCAAUGGGCGUAGUGGCAGGCUUACAGUUGCUCAUGUGGGUGCGCUCAAGAACCUCUAAGGCAUACUGGUGCUGCGAGAGAAACAACCUGUGUGUGCCACAAGUGACAUUGAUGCCUAAAAAGUAGUGGAGAUCACCAAGGCCAGUCAUGGAAAACUCGCGGUGGAGCUGUGCGAUGAUGUGGCAAAGUACACCACCGAAGACAUCGAUGGUAUGAAUGACGAUGUCGGAGAUGAACAAGGCCAGGACCCGCCGUUUAGCGGACGUUGGACGGCCACCUCCUGAUAUGACGUGUAUAUGGUGGACACACCCAAAGAAGAUGACGGCGACGGCAGGAAGGAUCCGGUCGAGGACGAGCCUGUUGAGGCACCACCAAAGCGUCGACGUCAGUGGCGCCGUUCCAAAUCGCGUCGCGAAAAAGACAGUAAUACCGGCACCGGAGACAAUAACACUCCGGAUAAUGCCAAACACCCCGAAGCCCCCAUCGAGCCAACAUCUGAACAUGACAAUUGGGAGGAGGGGCAAGUCAACCCUGACGAUCCGGUCGGGAACGAGGACUCGGAGGAUAGUAACUAUCUACCACCCUCCGAAGACGACGUGAGCCUCGGUGACGAGGACUUCAUCGUGCCAGAGGAACCACUUGAGCAGGAGCGCUUUAAGCGCUAGCUAAUCGCCACGGCGAGAAGCCUAAAAAGAAGCAAAAAAACUCCAAGCCGAAUAGGAUACACUCAACGACAGAUGGACCCAGGUCCUAGCUACCGAAGAGUAUGGUUUUGAACGCCCACCAAGAAGUUAUCCGAAGCGUCGGUUACUACCACAAUUCGACGAUGAGGCCCUCGAGCCAAUACCGUCAAGACACCACCGCGCUGAUGAACCAGACUGGCCACCGCGUGGACGGGACAGAGCGGCUACUCAGGCUGAACACCAGCCCGCACCACCCCACCUUAGAGGCAGAGAGACAGCGGCUCCAGGAUAUACCUACGACCUACGACAGGACCUGGACAAUAGAGUCGGUCAGACCAGAUCAAUCUAUGUAUCAAGGGGGCAUGCCCCAACGUGAGAGGACGGCCAUCAGGCCUGGCGCGAUAAGCACAACCUCACCCGGGCCAAAAAUCGCAUACGGACGUCAUCCAAACUUUGUCAUGAUGUCGCGCGAUACAGAGGCGCCGCACACCCCUUAUGCUUCACCGAUGAGGUAACGGAGCACCAGUUCCCAGAAGGGUUCAAACCGGUAAACAUUGAAUCAUACGAUGGAACGAUAGAUCCCGCAGUAUGGAUAGAAGAUUUUCUUCUCCAUAUCCACAUGGCUCGCGGUGAUGAUCUCCAUGCCAUCAAGUACCUCCCCCUGAAGCUCAAGGGACCAGCACGACACUAGUUAAAUAGCCUCCCAGAAAACUCUAUUGGUAGCUGGGAAGACUUGGAGGAUGCCUUUAGAGACUACUUCCAAGGCACCUAUGUCCGGCCUUCGGACGCCGACGACCUUAGUCACAUAGUCCAGCAACCCGGAGAGUCAGCCCGGAAGCUCUGGACCAGGUUCUUAAUCAAAAAGAACCAAAUUGUCGAUUGUCUGGACGCCGAAGCCCUCGUGGCCUUUAAACACAGCGUCCGAGACGAGUGGCUUGCCCGACACCUCGGCCAAGAAAAGCCAAAGUCUAUGGCAGCCCUCACUGCACUCAUGACCCGCUUUUGCGCGGGAGAAGAUAGCUGGCUAGCUCGUAGAAGCAACAACACCAGCGACCCCGGCACCUCCGAAGCCAUGGAUGGCAAUAGUAGGCCACAACACAACCAAAAAAAAGCAUCAAAACAACAACGAAAAUACCGAAGAUACGGCGGUCAACGCCGGAUUCAGUGGCUCCAAACCAGGUCUGCAAAAGAAGCCAUUCAAAUGAAACAAGGAUAGCCCAUCUAGUUUGGACAGGAUAUUCGAUCGGCCUUGCCAGAUUCAUGGCUCCCCUGACAAGCCUGCCAAUCACACGAACAGAAAUUGUUGGGUUUUCAAACAGGCCGGUAAGAUAAACACCGAAAAUAAGAGGAAAGGGCCACCCAGCGAGGAUGACGAUGAAGAGCCUCGCCCACCGAACACAGGGGGACCGAAGAAAUUUCCCCCCGAGGUAAAAACGGUGAAUAUGAUAUACGUUACGCAUAUCCCAAAGAGGAGCGCAAGCGUGCUCUAAGGGACGUCUACGCCGUAGAGCCGGUCGCACCAAAAUUCAACCCCUGGUCGGCCUGUCCAAUCACCUUCGAUCGUAAGGAUCACCCGACCAGUACCCAUCACGGAGGUUCGGCGGCCUUGGUCCUCGAUCCAAUCAUCAACGGAUUCCAUCUCACAUGAGUCAUUAUGGACGGCGGUAGCAGUCUUAAUCUGCUCUAUCAGGACACGGUCCGCAAAAUGGGUAUUGAUCCGUCAAGAAUCAAGCCCACCAAAACCACCUUUAAAGGAGUAAUCCCUGGUGUGGAAGCCCGUUGCACAGGCUCCAUAACAUUGGAAGUGGUCUUCGGCUCGCCGGACAACUUCCGAAGCGAAGACUUGAUCUUCGACAUCGUCCCCUUCCCAGUGGUUACCACGCACUGCUUGGAAGAACCGCUUUCACCCGCUUCAAUGCGGUCCCGCAUUAUGCUUACUUAAAGCUCAAAAUGCCCGGACCUCGCGGCGUCAUAGCAGUCAAUGGAAAUACAGAGCACUCCCUCCAUACUGAGGAGCAUACCGCGGCCCUCGCAGCUGAAGUAUAGGGUGGCCUUAUCAAGCCGAACACUACCUCGGCAGUCAAGCCCUCAGACACUGUCAAACGAGUCCGGUCUACCUUGCAGAAUGACAGUCCGGCUCAUCCAGAGCUCGAUUAGCAUUUCAGCCUCCGUCAAAAUACCAACCCAAUUGCGGCAUUCGUACCGCGUGUACAUAACUACGCACUAAAGAUACCAUGGGCAAGGAUGGAGGCACACUAAAAAUAAA
rnacentral:lncRNA from 1 species